rnacentral:lncRNA from 1 species
CUUCUGACCUUAACACAAAGUUAUCCUGUCCAGCAAAAGGUAGCCAUAAAUUUCACUGGGGGAAGGGUGAAAAAAACCACACCAAAGACCUGUUGGGUUGAAAGAAGAAACUCUGGUCCUGUCAACCGUCAAGUGACCCAGGUUACUCAUUGGAGGCUCUCACCUGAGGGUGGGUGGGUGAGAAGCUUGUGGGACAAAGUGGCCCCAAACUCUCAAGGGGGGGGGUCCUUACAAAGGAUUCUCCUCCCCCUCUCCUUUGGCCCCACAGGAACCAACAUUUGGGUGGAAAUCCACCCCAUUUGCUGCUUGGUGGGCCACACAGUGCCAGGCAAAUUUUCUCCACAUGAAUUGUUCCCAUAACAAGGCUUAUUACAAUAACUAUCCCAAGAAGGACCAUAUAGCAGCUGUCUUUCAUGCAGAAGGUUCCAGGCUAAAUCCUUGGUAUAUCUUGGUAGGAUUGGCAAUGUCUCUUAUCUGAAACCCUGGAAAGUUGCUGGCAAUUAGAGAAAGUAGAUAAGGCAUGCUUGGAACAAGAUCAGAAAAAUCUUAAGCAAGUCAAAUAUAUGCUGUAUAAUAAUUCAAUGUGCCAAUGAGAUUGGAGCAGAUGACUCGCACAGCCUCCUCCAUCAGCACUAAAAAUUGUUUGAAAUGUUUCUGGUAGUGUAGCUCAGCAUUGCUGGGAACUAUAAUACCACUAAUAUUAUAGCUGCUUAUUUUCAAACUCUAGUCAUACCAUAUUAUUCUGCACAUGGAAAGCUAAUACCUUGGAGGAAAGGGUAGGCAAAAUUAGAUACUUGGCUGUGGUAGUUUUCUACACACAGGGAACUUUUGAAAUUGAGGUAUAUUCAGACAUUGUAGGAGUUGUGUGAUUUGAUUCUUGGCAGGACAUAGUAUAACUUGAGAAGUUACCAAGGAGAAGAAUAGCCUGUAAGUUAUGGUCACAAAAAUGAAUACUGAUCAAGAUACAGGAAAAUGCAUUCCAGUAAGAUCCCCCGCCCCUGAGGAAUUUAGUCUUACUACUGAAUUACAUUGUGAUGCAGGAAGCUAGUGUUAACACUUCUGAGAAAAUCUUAAAACCUCACUUAAAGUUUACUGGCCUUUGUAUCUGCCCCCUCCCCAUUACUGGAACGGGUUACUUCCGGGUUUCGGCGCUCACGCAUGCGCAGAAACACAAAAUGACGUCACACGCAUGUGCAGAAGUGCCAAAUUAAGUCACACACGUUCGCAGACACGGCGCUGUGGGUUGCGAACGAUGUGGGUUGCGAACUUGCCUCCCUCAUGGAUCAUGUUCGCAACCCGAGGUAUGACUGUGUGUGUUUGUGUGUGUAUAUAUAUAUAUAAUCUCAUCGGUCCUUAUUGCCUAGAAAUGGAAAGUAGUGCUGAUGGGUUCAUAAUUAUUCAGAUUAUAUAAAUGACAUUGUUGUUUUUCUUACUGUAAAAUUUGUGUUGUCCACAUAUCUGUGUCAUUCACCGCUAUUGUUUUUCAUGCUGGUAUUGGUACUGACCCUGCAGUUCAUUGCUAUCACAUGUUGCAGUACUUGGCUCUGCAUGGGUUGAAAAUAUUCCCAGCAUCAACAGGAGACACAGCCCAAGGCUAGACUUGGACGUGUUAUCAUAAUGGCGUCUCCUGCUGUAACACAGUUAGGAGAGAUAUCUGAAGGGACUGCUGUUAACUGCUUGGUAAUCACUAACAUGCUGAAGCAAUCCUCACACUAAAUAGAUGCUUUGUAGGGCUUAUGGGUGGGGGUGAAAUUAAAUACUUCAUUGGCUGAGGAUUCAGUUGCAGUGUUGCCUACACAGCUUUAGCUGACAUGAUUAUACUUUUCACUAACAUGCUGAGGUGGGGGGGAAUGAAGAAGUUAGUUAGACACUGAACCAGAGUUCAUAAUGUUGCCAAAGGACAUUAUUUAUUAUUGGGUGAAAUCGCUGGAGAAUAGUCUGUUAUCAUAAUAUGGUGCUCAUCCUUUGAUGCCAUGUUAUUGUAACAUAAUGAAAACUGUUUACCGUUAGUUAAUGGAAUGUGCUUUUUGAAUUGAAUUAGAAUUGAGAGUUCAGUCACUUUGACUUCAUAUGAUUUCAGCAGGCUCUUUGUAUGAUGACUAAACAAUUGCAUUUUUCCCCUUCAGCAACAACAGACGGUGAAUAGUCUGGUAAAUAAGACAGAAUACAGCUGGUUUCAUUAGCAAGUGUCAAGAUCAGUAUCUAUUUUUCUUUCUUUUGUUAUGCAGCUAUAUUUUACUUGUGAUGGGGAAAAAUUGUUUCUGGGAGAGACAUUACCAUAAAGGAACUCAGCAAUUAAUAGCCAUUAUAUAUCUCUGUAUACAAUUCAGCAUUAAAACUGUUCCAGCUGCCAAGAUACAAACCUAAAUGACUCUUAUAUUUUCAAGGGUAUGUAAACUAUAAUGCACAAAUCUAGGUUCACAAUGGGCGGGGAGGGAAAUUUGAAAGAUACAGGCUCUCCUGAAUGGAUACAGGUGGAGUUUUUAUUUACCCCUAUUUUUGGUACAGUAUAAGAGUUUUCCUCAUAUGCAAUUCCUUUCAGAAGAGAGGUGUUCUCGUUCUCUCUGUGUGUAGCAUCCUGGAAAAGGAUGUUCUCCACUACCAAUCAGAGAGCAACCCUGGGUGUAAAAUAUGCUGCAUGGUAAGACUUAGAGGCACCUCGAGAGAAUGGCAUAUAGCCAUGUAAUGCUUCAAUAGCCAGUGAUCGCAAAUCUCAAUAUAAAAAGAUUGUUUAAACCACAAAGUGGUGGUAGGAGACAUCAGACUAGAACAUUGGCCCUGAUAGGCAUUCUACUUAUCUCCUAAUAAACCUUCAACGAUGAGAAUAUGAUAAGAAAAACAAUUUUUGAUUUGCAUCUAAAAUUCAUUGAAGGGUUUAUUUUUGUAAUUGCUUUGCCCUUACUGUCAAACCUGAACUUUGCUACCAUUUUGAGCCACAGUGGACACCUCCCACUGCGAUGCAUGUUUAUAGUUGAAUCUUCACAUAUCCUUUACUAUAGUACAGUGGUACCUUGGGUUAAGAACUUAAUUCGUUCUGGAGGUCCGUUCUUAACCUGAAACUGUUCUUAACCUGAGGUACAACUUUAGCUAAUGGGGCCUCCCGCUGCCACUGUGCCGCCGCCACACAAUUUCUGUUCUCAUCCUGAAGCAGAGUUCUUAACCCGAGAUACGAUUUUUCUGGGUUAGUGGAGUCUGUAACCUGAAGCGUCUGUAACUUGAAGCAUAUGUAACCCAAGGUACCACUGUAAAAAGAAAUGGAAAUGUAUUUUAAGGGUUCGUCUGGGGUACCUAUGGGCAUACAUGUGCCUGGUGCCCUUGGGAGUACCUGAGCCCACUGAAACAAAAAUUGGACUUAUGAAGCUCUUCCCCUGCUCCCUGAUUGGACACCCUGUGUUCCAUCCUCAAUUCUAGCCAUUUACCUAACUGCCUGCUGCACCUGUGACCUAUGUACCUUUUAACCCAACUUAUGUAUCACAGCAUUUGGCAAAAACUGUGUUGAGAUUUUGAGUACUGUCUCUACCUGUGGUAGCUGGGGCAUAAUGCAGAUUCUUGUUAUUGCACCUUGGUUGGUUUUCUUGCAGGCCAUGUGAAGUAACAGAAUAAUAGAAUCAUAGAAGUCCAACCUCUUGUAAGGCAGGAAUAUGCAGCUGUCCCUUACUGAGAUUGAACCUGCACUAUGCUCUAGCCAACUGAACUAUAAGACACACUUAAGAACACUGUUGGGAGAAUAUAACAUGAAACAAGUAUCUCCUAGGAAAGGGGCCCCCAGUCUUUUGGGGCCUAUGGAAAAUGUGGAAUUAUAAGUUAGUGAACAAAACAUGCUUAACUGGAAAAUUUAGCAAGGCCAUAUAGGAACACUUGGCUGAACCACUUUGCCCUUCACCUUGUUUGAGCACCUAGCGCUAUAAUAUUUUCUUGAAGUUAUAUAGUUUUCUAACCCAUCUGAUCAUAUUUUUGUGUCUUCAGUCUUGAACAGACAUCUAUUGUUCCUUUUUCUGGCCACAUGCUUCAAUUCUCAUUUAUUUUCCUUCAUGUAUUGAAGGAACCUGCAACAUCAAUUUGAAUAGGGCAGGGAGUUCUAGCUGAAAUGUAUUAACUUUUGUUAUUUUGACAUCCAGGCAGUUUCCGCCCCCCAGCUUACAGCAGAGAAAUUGAAGGGUGGGUAAAGGAAAGUCAACAAGAUGAAUAGCACAGAAGGAAAUUCAUGCCGAAAUUGUAUUAGAAUUAGAUAGCUAAAGCAAUGUAACUAGGCUGGUGAAGAUAAUAUGCCCAGUUCUGUAUGAUAGAUAUGCAAUUUGCUAAGUCAGAAUGUAAAUAUCUUGCCCAGAUAGAAAAGUUUUGCUUGAGUAAACCACAGAUUUAAUAUGGCGUAACUGAGGCUCAAAUGUGGAGCUCAGCUUUUGAGGAAAUAUUUCGAAUGGGCUAUAUAGCUAGCUGCCUGUUGUCUGUGUGUCUGCUUAGGGCUAACUUCACUUCAGAGGUGACUGCCUUUUGUUCUCUUCCCUUGGAGAAGGGGCACAUUGAAAACAGGGGUCAAAGAAGGCAUUGACUUAUGUCUGGACUGCUGAAACCUUGCCUUUAUUUCAUGUCUGUUGCUUCACAGACCAGUUUUGACCAUGUCCCAGGUUACUGCCUGAAGUCUAGUCCUUCUGCAGUCCUUGCCUGGGGUGUGUGGUUUGUGUGUUGUUGGCCCUGGCAGGAUUAAGCUCAGGCAUUGGCACCAACUCCAGCAGUGGCAGGAGCAAAGCGAGCACAGCCCAGGGUGAGGCCCCCUGGCCUGAACAGAGGGAGGCAGGUGAGUGAUCAGGCGCCUUACCUGUGCUCUCACACAGUGGCGGAGAAGGAGGCUGGAAUGGCUUAGCACAAUCAUUUUUUCUGGGCCCCUUAGGGUUGGAGCCUAUGAGUCCAGGACUCCUGUGUCCUGGAAUGCUGCUCCCUCCCCCUCCCCAGGCUUACAGGAAAAGCCUGGAGAUCAUACACCACACUUCUUGCAAUCAGUAAAUGCUGUUGCUUUAAAAUCAGUAAUACACAGGACCUUCAGAGCAUAUACUUCUGGCUUAAGGAAGAUCUGAAGUCAGGGAAGCUGUUUGUAAUGAAGGCCACCAUCUCAAGU